rnacentral:miRNA from 1 species
UUAUAAAUUACAUGGACAGGCCA